GACGAACGCUGGCGGCGUGCUUAACACAUGCAAGUCGAACGGAAAGGCCCUGCUUGCAGGGUACUCGAGUGGCGAACGGGUGAGUAACACGUGGGUGAUCUGCCCUGCACUUCGGGAUAAGCUUGGGAAACUGGGUCUAAUACCGGAUAGGAGCCAUCUUUAGUGUGGUGGUUGGAAAGUUUUUUCGGUGUAGGAUGAGCUCGCGGCCUAUCAGCUUGUUGGUGGGGUAAUGGCCUACCAAGGCGGCGACGGGUAGCCGGCCUGAGAGGGUGUACGGCCACAUUGGGACUGAGAUACGGCCCAGACUCCUACGGGAGGCAGCAGUGGGGAAUAUUGCACAAUGGGCGCAAGCCUGAUGCAGCGACGCCGCGUGGGGGGUGAAGGCCUUCGGGUUGUAAACUCCUUUCGCUAGGGACGAAGCUUUUUUGUGACGGUACCUAGAUAAGAAGCACCGGCUAACUACGUG
rnacentral:rRNA from 1 species